CCUACGGGAGGCAGCAGUAAGGAAUAUUGGACAAUGGUGGCAACACUGAUCCAGCCAUGCCGCGUGCAGGAUGACGGUUCUAUGAAUUGUAAACUGCUUUUAUACGGGAAAAACCCUCAAGACGUGAUUUUGAGCUGAUUGUACCGUAAGAAUAAGGAUCGGCUAACUUCGUGCCAGCAGCCGCGGUAAGACGAAGGAUCCAAGCGUUAUCCGGAUUUAUGGGUUUAAAGGGUGCGUAGGCGGACUCAUAAGUCAGUGGUGAAAUCCCAAAGCUUAACUUUGGAACUGCCAUUGAUACUGUAAGUCUUGAGUAUGUUUGAAGUGGGCGGAAUGUAUUGUGUAGCGGUGAAAUGCUUAGAUAUAAUACAGAACACCAAUUGCGAAGGCAGCUCACUAAACCAUAACUGACGCUGAGGCACGAAAGCAUGGGGAGCAAACAGGAUUAGAUACCCUGGUAGUCCAUGCCCUAAACGAUAGAACUACUCGAUAUGUGNGAUAUACAGUACGUGUACGUAGACGAACGAC
rnacentral:rRNA from 1 species